GCUUUGAUGGCUCAGUUGGUAGAGCGUGAGUCUCAUAAUCUCAAGGUCG
rfam:Smittium culicis strain GSMNP scaffold-3501, whole genome shotgun sequence.